rnacentral:lncRNA from 1 species
CCAAAUUAUAAUGAUACAAAAAAAAUAAAAAAAAACUAUUAGAAGUGGCUAAGGACCAAAAAGAAGCCCAAUAAAAAAAGCCAAAAAAAAUAAAACCAGCCCAUGUGAUCAAUUGAAAUGGGUUGGGCUGAUUUCAACCAUGAUGUUUUGAUUUCGUCGUUAUUUUUCCACGUAGGACUGCCACGUAGGACUGGGUUUGAUUGCCAACGACGGUUUAGGAUCGUCGUAAAGGUUACGACGAUAGAGGAAUCGUCG